rnacentral:lncRNA from 1 species
UAAUUUGCUGGGAAAAAAUCUAUAUGUGUUUAAUUUUCAAUUGUCCUUAAUUAUAAUUUUAUUUAAAGUGGAGUUUUGUAAGAAUAAUGUAGGGGUGCCAAUAGCUCUACUCAAGAAAAUAGCAACAAGGAGACACAUAUUUCACCUUGAGAAUGUGGGCUCAGAGCCCACGUUCGAGGGGAUAUAUCACGAUUCACGACUUUUUUUUUUUUUUUGAAUACUGAUUAAUCAUCAUAUUACUGCAUUACACAGAUAUUUACAACUGCUAUUAUAGCAGAUAUAUUACACUGAUAUUUACAAUCAGAAAUACAUGAUUGGGACUUAUAUUAUUACAUUGAAUUCUGUGAAGUACAUGCCCAGACAAAUAAUCCCUUACAGAAGAGAGAUGUCCAUACUCCACUCGUAUUGCACGAGGGAGAGGAAAUUUUUGAAAUAUUAAAUAAAUAAGCACGUUAGCCCCCACAAAUGCUUUUGUGGGGGCUUGAACCGCUGCCCUCACAAGCAUUGUGAGGGCAGCAGCCCACCACUCCGACCAAGGCCGAAGUGGCACGAUUCACGACUUAAGAGUCCUAUGAAGAGCGGCGUGUUGCAGAGAACAUUAUUUUGAUUUUUGUAUGGUAUGUAAUGCGGUGCUGUCGACACUCUUUUAUUAUUCUUAUGGAUUUUUAUUUUUAGUUUUGAAAUAUGUAAUUGAAUGACAGGGUGCUUGUGUUCCUAACACCAAUAUCUAUUUUCAAAAUAAAGUAAAAAUUAAAAAAAAUUA